UUAAGUUCAGCGGGUAUCCUUGUCUGAUUUGAGGUCAAACUUCAGUUGCGCAAAGGCAACAUCAAAUUUAACGCCACCAAGCUAUGAAUGGUUGUAGGAAUAAAAUGUAAACACCACUCCAAUAAACCUAGCAUAAGCUUGCGGUCGUGCAGCAAGUUUAAGGCGGGAGCAGCCAUAAUAGCUAGUCCUCCGCAGCCCAU
rnacentral:misc_RNA from 1 species